UGAUGAAGUGAAGAGUCAUUUGCAGAAAUACAGGCUUCAUACACGAAGAAUUCCAAAUUCGCAGACUCAACCAGCUAACCAGUCUGGUGUGGCUCUAGGAAAUUUAUGGAUGUCCCAAGGCCAAUAUGGGGAAUCCUCAAAGCAGAGCAGUUCACAAUCUGGUUCCCCUCAGGGUCCUCUACACUUGGCUGGGAGUUGCGGAGGUACUUCCACGACUGUGGGUGAUAGCAUGGAUGAAGAAGAUGAUGUAAAAUCCGAGAAUCACAGCUGGAAAAAUCAUGUUCACACCUCUGGAAAGGUUGAUGUAUAGAUCUCCACCAUGAAUUUUGCAGAUAAGAUUAUACAUUGGAGAAAUUAAUUACCAUAAAUCGAUACCUUAUAUUAUACUUAUAUAUAAAUCUUGAGAGAGAUGUGAAAUUUUGCAGGAUUAGAUCUCCUUUUUUUUUUGCUUGUGCAUUUCGAACCGUGUUCUAGUUAUUUGUUGGUUCAGCAUAAGGAACUUGAAUUUAAGUCCCAG
rnacentral:misc_RNA from 1 species